rnacentral:tRNA from 1 species
AAGGUGGCUCAGUGGUAGAGUGCUUGCCUUGCAUGCAUGUGGUCCUGGGUUCAAUUCCUCAGCCUU